rnacentral:rRNA from 1 species
GAAGCAUGACCGUAAGGACAUGUGGACAGUAUGGGAGUGAGAAUGUUGGCAUGAGUAGCGAGAUGUGGGUGAGAAUCCCACAGGCCGUAAACCCAAGGUUUCCAGGGGAAGGUUCGUCCGCCCUGGGGUAGUCGGGACCUAAGCUGAGGCCGAAAGGCGUAGGUGAUGGACAACAGGUUGAUAUUCCUGUACUACCGAUAACCG